CCUACGGGUGGCAGCAGUGAGGAAUAUUGGUCAAUGGGCGGGAGCCUGAACCAGCCAAGCCGCGUGAGGGAAGAAGGUACAGCGUAUCGUAAACCUCUUUUGUCAGGGAACAAAGGCGGGGACUAGUCCCCGGAUGAGUGUACCUGACGAACAAGCAUCGGACAACUCCGUGCCAGCCGCCGCGGUAAUACGGAGGAUGCGAGCGUUAUCCGGAUUUAUUGGGUUAAAGGGGUGCGCACGCGGCCUGUUAAGUCAGCGGUAAAAGCCCGGGGCUCAACCCCAGCGAGCCGUUGAAACUGGCGGGCUGGAGUGGGAGAGAGGUACGCGGAAUGCGCGGUGUAGCGGUGAAAUGCUUAGAUAUCGCGCAGAACCCCGAUUGCGAAGGCAGCGUACCGGCUCCAAACUGACGCUGAGGCACGAAAGCGUGGGUAUCGAACAGGAUUAGAUACCCUUGUAGUC
rnacentral:rRNA from 1 species